UCCAAAACAAAUUCCACCUGCAGCUCGUGUGAAUCCUACAUGGAGGGAGCAAGGGAGCACCAGUUUUUGAAGUACUCCCAGAGUUUCAGGACCUUCCCCCCACCCCCGAUCCUAUUCAACUCCAGGGACUAGAAGGGACACCACUGUCGUGGCUGCUCAUGGGCCAAGGAUGGGGUAGUGGCAUCGCCACCAGGAGCUCCAUCCAUUUAAGGCUGUGGGCAGAGCGUCAGGCAGCCUGGCCCAGGGUCACUGAUGUCCCUGCGCCAGGAACCCAGGAGGCCUUGGCAGGUGAAGCACUGGGAGCUGAGCACAUUGGUGACGAAUGUGACCUUGAAAUCAGUCGGGCCAGGAUCAAAUCAAAGCUGCACCGUGGACUAGCUAAAUGACCUUGAGCAAGUAACUUCAUUUCCCUGUCUCUAAGCCAAGACCCAGUCAUCUCCACUCUCUUUCCUGUGGCUCAAGUUGGAGACUGAAAAAAUGACAUUCCAAAUGAAGUGAUUCAACUCCAAAAUGAAACCCACAGGCAAGUGCA